AGUCACUGACAUUAGAUACCCCCGUAGUCCAGGGUGUAAACGCUGCAGACUUGGUGUUGGAGGCCCUUUGGGGCAUUCAGUGCCGGAGAGAAGUUGUUAAGUCUGCUACUUGGGAGUACGUCCGCAAGGAUGAAACUUAAAGGAAUUGGCGGGGGAGCACCGCAACGGGAGGAGCGUGCGGUUUAAUUGGAUUCAACACCGUAAAACUCACCAGGGAAGACUGUUACAUGAAAGCCGAGAUGAAGACUCUGCUAGAUUUUCAG
rnacentral:rRNA from 1 species